rnacentral:rRNA from 1 species
UACAGAGGUCUCAAGCGUUGUUCGGAUUCAUUGGGCGUAAAGGGUGCGUAGGUGGCGCUGUAAGUCGGGUGUGAAAUUUCGGAGCUUAACUCCGAAACUGCAUUCGAUACUGUGGUGCUUGAGGACUGGAGAGGAGACUGGAAUUCAUGGUGUAGCAGUGAAAUGCGUAGAGAUCAUGAGGAAGACCGGUGGCGAAGGCGGGUCUCUGGACAGUUCCUGACACUGAGGCACGAAGGCCAGGGGAGCAAACGGG